rnacentral:rRNA from 1 species
AGGGGAGUGAAAAAGAACCUGAAACCGUGUACGUACAAGCAGUGGGAGCACCCUUUGGGGUGUGACUGCGUACCUUUUGUAUAAUGGGUCAGCGACUUAUAUUCUGUAGCAAGGUUAACCGAAUAGGGGAGCCGGAGGGAAACCGAGUCUUAACCGGGCGUUAAGUUGCAGGGUAUAGACCCGAAACCCGGUGAUCUAGCCAUGGGCAGGUUGAAGGUUGGGUAACACUAACUGGAGGACCGAACCGACUAAUGUUGAAAAAUUAGCGGAUGACCUGUGGCUGGGGGUGAAAGGCCAAUCAAACCGGGAGAUAGCUGGUUCUCCCCGAAAGCUAUUUAGGUAGCGCCUCGUGAAUUCAUCUCCGGGGGUAGAGCACUGUUUCGGCUAGGGGGCCAUCCCGGCUUACCAACCCGAUGCAAACUGCGAAUACCGGAGAAUGUUAUCACGGGAGACACACGGCGGGUGCUAACGUCCGUCGUGAAGAGGGAAACAACCCAGACCGCCAGCUAAGGUCCCAAAGUCAUGGUUAAGUGGGAAACGAUGUGGGAAGGCCCAGACAGCCAGGAUGUUGGCUUAGAAGCAGCCAUCAUUUAAAGAAAGCGUAAUAGCUCACUGGUCGAGUCGGCCUGCGCGGAAGAUGUAACGGGGCUAAACCAUGCACCGAAGCUGCGGCAGCGACACUCAGGUGUUGUUGGGUAGGGGAGCGUUCUGUAAGCCUGCGAAGGUGGCCUGUGAGGGUUGCUGGAGGUAUCAGAAGUGCGAAUGCUGACAUAAGUAACGAUAAAGCGGGUGAAAAGCCCGCUCGCCGGAAGACCAAGGGUUCCUGUCCAACGUUAAUCGGGGCAGGGUGAGUCGACCCCUAAGGCGAGGCCGAAAGGCGUAGUCGAUGGGAAACGGGUUAAUAUUCCCGUACUUGGUGUUACUGCGAAGGGGGGACGGAGAAGGCUAUGUUGGCCGGGCGACGGUUGUCCCGGUUUAAGCGUGUAGGUGUGUGUUCCAGGUAAAUCCGGUU